rnacentral:rRNA from 1 species
AGCUCCAAUAGCGUAUAUUAAAGUUGUUGCAGUUAAAAAGCUCGUAGUUGAAUUUCUGGUCUAUUUUAAACUUGGUUUCGUAUCGGUUUAGAGUAGGCCAUCCGUCUGCAAGAUGCCCUCGGCCUUAACUGGUUCGGAGUAUUGAGCUGACAUUUUACUUUGAAAAAAUUAGAGUGUUUCAGGCAGGCUUUCGCCCGAAUACAUUAGCAUGGAAUAAUGGAAUUGGACUCUGGUCUAUUUGGUUGGUUAUUGGAUUAGAGUAAUGGUUAAUAGGGACAGUUGGGGGCAUUAGUAUUUAAUUGUCAGAGGUGAAAUUCUUGGAUUUAUUAAAGACUAACUUAUGCGAAAGCAUUUGCCAAGGAUGUUU